UGGGGAAUUUUGGACAAUGGGCGCAAGCCUGAUCCAGCCAUGCCGCGUGCGGGAAGAAGGCCUUCGGGUUGUAAACCGCUUUUGUCAGGGAAGAAAUCUUCUGAGUUAAUACCUCGGGAGGAUGACGGUACCUGAAGAAUAAGCACCGGCUAACUACGUGCCAGCAGCCGCGGUAAUACGUAGGGUGCAAGCGUUAAUCGGAAUUACUGGGCGUAAAGCGUGCGCAGGCGGUUUUGUAAGACAGAGGUGAAAUCCCCGGGCUCAACCUGGGAACUGCCUUUGUGACUGCAAGGCUUGAGUGCGGCAGAGGGGGGAUGGAAUUCCGCGUGUAGCAGUGAAAUGCGUAGAUAUGCGGAGGAACACCGAUGGCGAAGGCAAUCCCCUGGGCCUGCACUGACGCUCAUGCACGAAAGCGUGGGGAGCAAACAGGAUUAGAUACCCUGGUAGUCCACGCCCUAAAACGAUGUCAACUGGGUUG
rnacentral:rRNA from 1 species